UAGGGGAGGAUUAUUUUUAGUUGUGGUGGUUGAUGGAUGUAGGAGUAUUAGUGAGAAAAUUUUUUUUGUGAUGAUAGUGGAGAGUAUCGUAGGAGAAGUUUGGAAAUAGGUGGUGGUAGGAGUUUGUACCUUUUGUAUCAGGGUUCAAUGAAGUUAAGUUGGAUAAGUAGUUCCCGGAUUUGGAUGAGUUAAACUGAUUAGAGUAGGUUGUGGAAUAAAGUUGUGAGAGAUUAGUUUGGGAGUGAGAUGCUUGCGGAUCCAAAGUUCUGGAUAGGUUGAGGAAGGAGAGAGAUAAGUCUUUUUUCUAAGUAAAUUAUGGUUUAUGGAAAAAUUGAGGGCUUAGAGGUAGCUAAGGAGUGUUAAUACUGUUAGUGAUGUUGAUUUUAUUUUAAUUGCUUGAUGUAUUACUGGUAAUGGUGUAGAGUAAGAGAUAAUGUUGGAAUUAGUAAAAAUGAGGAUAAAAAGAUGUGAGGAUUUAGUAAUGGCAAAUGAAUUUGGCAAAUGUUUACUUGAAAUGUUUAUUAAAGACAUUUUCUUAUUAGUAAUAUAAGGUAAGAUCUGCUCAAUGAGGUUAAAUGGCCGCAGUAAGUUAACUGUGCUAAGGUAGCAUAAUAAUUAGUUAUUUAAUUAGUAACUGGAAUGAAUGAUUUAAUCGGGUAGUGCUUUAUUUGCUGUUUUUUUGAAUUUAAUGUUUUAGUGAAAAAUCUAAAGUGUACUAGGGGACGAGAAGACCCUUUAGAGCUUGCGUUGCUGUUAAAUAAGAAAUUGUGUUGGUGAGUUGAAGGUUUAAUUGUAAUGUUGUCUGGGGCGGAAGAUGAAGAAGUUAUCUUCAUGAGGAGGAGAUUUUAUAGGAAGGAUGGAUUUAUGAGAUAAAAGGAAAAAGUUACCUAAGGGAUAACAGCGUAAUUAUUAUGGGGAGAUCAAAUUUAUAUAAUAGUUUGCGACCUCGAUGUUGAAUUAGGGAAAGUUAGGGAGUAGAAGAUUUAAGGAGUAGUCUGUUCGACUAGUAAGGACCUACAUGAUUUGAGUUUAGAUCGGUGAGAGCCAGAUUGGUUUCUAUCUUUAGUGAAUAGGAAUUUUUUAUAGUACGAAAGGAUUUAAAAGGUGGAAAAAUUCUUUUUUGUGAA
rnacentral:rRNA from 1 species